UACCUGCGGGGAGAGGCAGAGGCGUGGGCCUGUGGCCGGGGCAUGGGGCCGACCCGAGGCAACGCCGCGGUCUCGCCCCGCAGCCCUCCUGCGAGAGCCGGGCGGGCCUUCCUCAGGGACCGUGAGCCAUUUCCUUAAUCUCUCGAGCCUCAGUUUCCUCCUCUGUUCAUCAGGGAUAACCCAGUGCUCGUUCCGUGUUGCUGUCGGGAUGACUCCCUAUCGGCUGGAGGCCCGCUCACAGGCAGUGGUACCCUUGAGUGGUUACUGGGAGUCAGGCUCAGGCCGGGACCCUUCCCGUGUCCCAUCUCAGCGAGUACAGGAAGUCUGGAAGAGGCUAAUGUUAGUCCCCUCCUACGCGCGCGCGAGGGAGCCCAGGCUCCGAUCAUUUAAGUGACUCAAGGUUCGCAGGGCCGGGAAGCGGUAGAGCUGGGAAGGACCCAGGCUGGGCGGGACCCAGGACUCACGCUGCCCAAUUCCUCAUUCCAGUCCCUGCCUUCAGCCACCACCGCGCCUCGGACUCACCUCCCCUCAAGGACCGUUCAGCCCCUGGCUGGCGGCUGCAGUGGGAAGACGUUCCUUUUAAAGUGGAAGCUAAAAGCUGCCUCGGCGACGUGACUGCUCCCAUCUCACUCAGAUAAGCACGGAAAUGGCAAACCUCUUUCUGUGCCACAUCACUCUGCGACCCGCGACAGCUCCCUGUCAUCUGCGGGAUCCACUCACGCUCCCUGAGCUUGUGUUCAAGGUCCUAAUGUGCCAUCCAGGUUCCAGCUGCUGUUCCAGCUGCUGUUUUAGACUCAGGUGCCUUUCUGCCUUGACCCCAGCCCUUUGCUCCAACUAGCCCGGGCUGCUCAAGUGCCACGAAGGCCGCUGACGCUCCCUUGCGUUUGUCUUUACCUUGCACUGUUCUGCGGGAACUGCCCAGGCCCCUUUCUGCCCCUGGCCCCAAGGUUCUGACCCAGCCUUUCCUCUGCCCAGAGGUGGCCCCGUUCCACCUUCUCUCGGUUCUUGCCUGACUGCUCCUAGUAGGACUGGACAGUGCCCUGUGAGGUCUCUCCUUCCCCCCGGAAAGGCGCCGCCCUCUGUGCGCUUCCCUGCCCCCAGCACCGCCCCGGCGCCUGCCUCCUUGACAGGACAAUACCUGCGCACAGCAGCCUCUGAGUAGGCCACCACGCAGACGAUGCCCACGACCAGCAGAGCCACGCAGAUGCCGGUGAUGGUCAGGACCCUCUUCUGGUACAGCUCCUCGGCCUCUGCAGAGGAGAGGGUGUGAUGGG